UUCGAAAAGCAAUAAAUACAUUUUUAAAUGGUAAUGUUGUGUCACUUCGUUAAUUCCCGAAAUUUUCGGUGCCGCCUUCGUAUGGGCACUCAGGAUUGAAGGCAUUUAUCAGAGAGAAUCAAACAACACAGCUUUUCAAUUGGCCAAUCGGCAGCAUGUAUGAACUUUGGAAAAAAACAUGCACUAUCGAAAAGGACCUUGAAAAUGAAAUUCGAACGGAAGCGUCAUGUUGGAAAAUGGUUCUUCAAAGGUUAUUCGAUGUCAUACUUACCCUUGCAAAGAGUUUUUGGAUAUGCCCAAAGAUAGUGAUUUUUCUUUAGUCUGUUCCCUUUAGUGAAAGGUAGUGACUAAAUCGUGCUUUUUAUGUUUUUAGGAUCUACAAGUUAUCUGGGUCCAAACUGGAAAACCUUCUACUAGAACAAAUUAGAGCGUCCCCGUGCUUCGCCAUCAUUAUGGAUACGACACAGGACAUAUCGAAGGUAUAUCUAUCAGCUAAGCAUUGUUGUGAGGUAUGUAAUGAUAACGAAAUCGGAAAAUGGACAUCUAGUUGAUACAGAAGUAAAAGAAGUGUUUCUAGAAUUUUAUGCAGCUAUCAGACAUAGUACAGCAGGUUUAGUAAGCCAGGUGACUACAUUAUUUAUCGACAAAAAUAUUGAUUUAAAAAAAUAUGUGGGUCAAGGUUAUCAUGGAGCAUAGUGUUAUGAGCAAUGUGUAUAAUGGUGACGCGGAGUAUGUAAAUAUGCGGUGAUAAAUGACGCCGUCAGCUCUUGUGUGGAAAUACAAAUUUUUUCCAACUUUGCAAGAUUUGUAUAAUUUUGUAUAAUUUUUCGGACAUAGCAUCAAGCGUUGAGAUCCACUGUCAAAAAGUCUUUUUGUUUGGGUGAUUUCCAGGAUAGAUUUCGGUUUUUUAAGAUUAAAGGAAGAAAAAUACAAUUCGUCUCAUCGCUAAGGUAAGUAAAGUCUGUGACUAGUUUUCAUUGCCACGGCGCCUCCCGCUAUCACAAAUACCAGUGGUAACACCGACGCUGAAUUAUUAUGGCACAGGGAAGGCAGAUAACGCCGCCGCGGACGCCGCCGAAUCAUUGGUCGUAAGCCGCGUAGCCGUGCGUUUGCCGCCAUUUUGGCCAGAGGACCUCGAAGUUUGGUUUGUACAAGCGGAGGUGCAAUUUCAAAUUUCUUGUAUACGGGAGAAUACUACAAAGUUCUACCAUAUUAAUUCGUAGCUUGAACUGAAGUACAUACGUGAAAUCAAGGACAUAAUAAAAAAUCCACAGGCUACCGGUAAAUAUGAAAACUAUUAACAAUUUAUAAAAAUGAACGAUGAAUUGUUGAGAACAAAAUAUAUUUUACUUCCAUUUUAAGCUAGAAAGGUGUGAUGACGUGCUAAACAAACAUAUCUUGCAGAGUACCUAAAUUACAGCAGACCGUUGGGGGCAGAUCGAGGUGAGUGCCACUUGCUUAACUGGCUUGUUUUGAAUGUGCUAUAUUGUAAAAAGCAAAAUGGUUUUUUCCCUUAUAUGCUGAUCGUACAAACAUUACGAUUGAUCUUUUAUAAAAAUAAAUGUUAUAGCACGGUAUCAUUUCUCUUUUAUUCCCAUCACUAGUAGAGACACAAAUCGAACUCUCGAACCGAACUCUUUGCGCUAAGUAUGAAAAUAUAAAAAAGAGGGCCAAGACUGUAGUAUAUUUAUAAUGACGUAAGUCAUGCAUUCAAUAUAACUACCUGUAAGUGGGGGUGUAUUUAAAAUAAACCAGUAUUGAACCAACUUGCGUGUGUUUCACUACAAAGACCAAGUAUAGUACUUUUCGGAGAAGUUUGUACGGAACAGGGGUGGAAUUAAUGUCACUCAAGAAAAGGAAGUGGUAAUGGAGUUAUCUGGGACCAGUGUGAUGGGAUUACCAUCUCACAAUCACUGUGAUGAGGUAUGUAUGAGUAGCUUCUAAUUACAUUAAUAUCUCAAAUUGCCUCAUGAUCAAAUGUCCUCUACCAACCUAUACUUUGCCAAAAGUCACCAAUAAUGAGAGUGACCAGUAAUCUAUCCACCAACUACUUUUUUACUUGAUUUGUAUAUUACAGAUUUUUAAAAUCUAUAGAAUAUUAGAGAACCUGAAAUUGUUUUGCUUGUUUAACACUAUAUUUAUCUAAAGUAAGUAGGUAUUACCUAUUUGAUGUAAGUACCUACCUAAUAAAAAUUCGUGUAGGGGCCUCAACUUAAAUAAGAUCUUUAUGGAAAAUGCAGUGGACUGUAAAACUACCUAUUACUUAACAGAGAAACGAGAGUAAUGGGCAGCUGGCGCUGUAAGCUAUGCAAAAAAUAUGUGUGACGAACUCGAAAUUUCCUUAGAAUCUCGGACAAGAAGGCAUAUUUUUUAAGACGGAAUUAGGGAUGCUAACUUGUCUUGUGAAAAUGAGUUGAGACGAAAGCUGUUUAGAAAUUCAUGAGCGGUUUCAGCAGCUACAGAAUUUAACGGAUAAGUUUACUUAUCUAACGCCGGCUAUAUUUGUAGGGACCACAAAUGUCCCCAUAGCAACUAACAAUUAUAUGUAUGUGUUAGCGGUAAUUAUAUUGCAAUGAUGCUACGCCAGUCUCGAGAUCGUCAGGCUGUCGAUAGCACGUUAGGUUGUAAUCCCAAUAUACGUUAGUCACUUAACUGAUCACGUGUCUUAUUAAUCCUUGCCCUAUAUAGACUCAACAUAUUAUUAGAUCCAGACGACACUAAAUGUAAUCUAGACUACGCAUCUGUCGAAAUUGACGAGCAGGAUUUCAAGCUGGAACGACUUUGACUGCGGACUUUUAUCGCUGUUACAUGCAACGAAAAUAAAUAAAUUAAUGGAGACUCACUUAAAUUAUUUUAAUUUAUCUUAAACUCCAAGCUAGAAGAUACUCUAACCAAUAUUUAAAAAAUGCUACGAAUAUUUUUCACAGUUGCCAUAAGCAAUGCCAGCUGUGAGAGAAGUUUUUCAAAAUUGAAGUUAAUUAAAAGUUAUUUAAGAUCAACAAUGAGUACUUUAAGACUUACUAAUUUGGCUAUCUUGUCUAUUGAGGAAGAGGUGUGCGAUGCUAUAGACAUUGAUGGUGCAAUAAAAGACUUUAAUCUUAAAAAAAGUAGACGUAUAAAUUUUCAAUUAAAGACUUUGGUUUUUAUGCUUAGAAUACUUAUAUUAUUUUUCAAUAAAUAUUACGUAAUAAUUAUAGUUCUUGUUUUUAUUAAAAAUUGAUUUGCGUUUUAUAUUCAAUUCACUAAUUAUUUAAUCUUGUCGAUCGUCCAAUUGUACCUAAUCCUAAGUGAUAGGUAUUGUACCUGUUAUAACAAUGUAUCUAAUGGCAGCGACAUAUGUUACGAUAUACUAGCGCUUUUUUAGGUUUGCGCAAAUAAAUCGUUAUGCCCGAGUGACCACAGAUGGCUCAAGUGGCAGCCACAGACGUUACGAUAUAUUUGCGCAAACCUAAAUUAACGUGUGUGGCUGCCAUAAGUGGUUGAAGUAUAAUAAAAUAUUUUUUGUAUUAAUAAACGCGAUUGUAACAUUUAGAUAAACUUUUUUAUUUAAAAUCUUACCUGUAGAUAGAAUGCAAAAUAAUGAUGACUGCUCUUGUCAAAAAAUAAUCUAGAAUGAAUGUAUAGUAUACAUCAAGGUGAAAUACCUAAAUAAAAGGGCGGCAAAAUUAUCUUCCGCCCCAGACGGCUGACACCCACGCUUAGAUAUGGGAUUUUACCCGGAAAAAACCCAAGUGUGGGAAAAAACCCGGGGAAAAUUCCCGAAUGGGAUAAUAUUCGGGUUUUUUCAUAUUUAGCACAUGUAACAUCUAGGUAAUAUGUAUGUCAGAGGAAGUAAUGAGUCGAUAUGAUUCUUGAUUACAUGCAUAACGCUCAUUAUUAUUAUUUUUACGUUGUAAUUACUUUCAUAAUUCCUAAUUUUAUUUUAUUUCGUUUGUUACGUUUUUCUAUAGCUUUAAAACCUUUUAUAAAAAGAAAUUGUAAUAAAAGGGUAUCGAAACUGUAACUUCACGUAGGCAACGACCAAUCAGAGCAGAGCAUUUGUCUCGAGCGUGGUCGAGGCACCAUCUUUACUUUGAGAAGGCUUGUAUUGUCGGUUGACACAUUUUUGGAGCAUAAAAACGUAUCAAGUUGGAUCGUUGGAGAUAGUUAAAGUGAGAUUGGUGCACCGAACUCGCUGCUCGGUCUAAAGUGUUAUAUUCUCGUAUAAUAUUACUGUGAAGUAAUCAAGUAUUGUUUAAAUUAAACUAGUGAUAAAAACGUAUUCAUUGUGUUUUGUGCUCGCAUUUCAUCCCAAUGAAGCCCACUAAGCCCACAGCCACUAAUGACGAUGCCAUCAGGAAGAGCUUUCCCCGACACGUAUAUCAAAUAGUCAUAAUGAGGUGUAUAUAUCGAAAUGGUUCGCUUAUGAGCACUUUUACUUCUCGGCUGACAAGGUCUCUCCCCGUGAUACUCAAAACUCAAUGUCUAUCGACACAUCGUCGCCUUCUGCAGCAAGAGACACAACAAAUUCAGAACCAUCGCCUUCUGUAAGUAUCUGGAGUCAGUAAGCUUUGGGCUAAAGGCGGAAACAUAUUUACGUGUCGUGUCGUGGCGUGCUCUGGAGUUAUUUCUUUCAUUUCUGAACAUAACCUCGCAGUGUUUAAACGUACAUAAUGUUUUCUUCUGAUUCGGAUAGUGAUUAGUGCUAAUUAUAUUUUAUAUUUAAUAUCUAUGUUGCCAUGUUAUUUAUCCAUUUGAAACGAAGUGUGUAGCCAAGUGUGACCGAAUUGCUUUUGCGUCAUUUGCAGACCUUCGAGGAAUUGCACGUAAAGGCACAAAAGAAGUCGAAUCUAGUUCAUUCCUCCACGACCCUUGUACGAAAUUUCCAUCGAUUUCAGAGUCCAAACUUCCUGGUGGUGUAUAAAUAUUUGCCCUUGUUUUUCGUAAAAAGUUAUGCAAAUAAAUAGUAGCCAGUACCACUUUCGUAGCAAUUUCUGGUUCCAAUAAUUUUGGUUUUCUUAACACUCUAAAUACAGAACGCAUGAUGCCAAAAGCAUUUUCUACUACUACCCUUUGUGCUCUAGAUAGACGGUAAUUGAAUAUUCUUUCCGGAGAACCAUUGUCUGGGUUCCUUCAAACGGUUUCAUAGUAUAAUUGUUUAAAGCAAAUGCUUUGUCAGCUAAUAUAAAUAACAUAGGGCACUUUAAUCAAAUAUGGUGUCUGUAAUAUACAGGAUGCUGGUAACUUUAAUUCAUUAUUUUCCAAUGAUUUGUACAAUGCACUGUUUUUAAAAACUCCACCAUCGGAUAUGCGUCCUUGACAUCCAACGUCUACAUACAUAAAAUUAUAAUUAGCAUCCACCAAGCCAAGCAAUACGAUGCUGGAUUUUUUUUUAUAAUUUAUGUAUUCUCCGUGACUAUUAAUUGGUGAUUGAAGAACAAUAUGUUUGCCAUCGAGGGCCCCCACACAAUGAGGAAAAUGCCACUGGUUUUCAAAAUCUUGUGCUACUUUUAACCAUUCUUCUUCUGAUGAUGGUAUCUGAAAAUUAUGUCACAUAUUUUACUAUUAGGCUAUCGUACUGCUAAAACAUUAUUUGAUGAUUUUAUUCAUUU